UCAUCAGCAGCAGCAGCAGCACCCAAACGUAAACAAACCCAGCCUGGUGGACACGGGCUGGACCCAUCAGCCAUAUCGACAUCGUGGGCAACACCGUGGUGGACAACCUGGCACACCAAUACACAGACCACACUGACCUCCUCCGACAGUCCUCCAACAGACACUGGACUAACGGCUGACCUCAGACAGCUCACGAUACAGACACCCCCGCCCAGUACCAGCCGUCCCCUGGACACACCCGCCUGAGGACUGGCCACACCCGCCUCACCUGCACAGACUGUCCAGGACCCACAUGGUGCCCCACACACACCAGAACACCUCCUCCUCCACUGCCCAAGAUUCCAUGCACCAACCUCAAGGCAUCCCUGACCAGCCUCCGCAUUCACAGGCCAACCCUGGAGGACCUGCUGGGCAACCACACCCUCAGCCCCAACACCCAAGCCUUCCAAGUGUACCUUCCUGCAGAAGGCGGGGCGGCAACUCGACAGGAUCUAACCUGGUGACAGAACGGCAAACAAAACCUGAUACCAACCACCACUGACGGGGCUGUGGAGGCUGUGGCCCCACAGCCUCCACAGACCCAUAAAACACCCAAGAAGAAGAAGAAGAAGAAGGUGAUGCCCCGGAGGACGUGGACCCUGCCAGCCACCCAGCGCCCCCUCCCUCCCUCCUACUGGUGAUGGGAGAAGACAGGAGGAUGAGAAGAAGGAGGAGGAGGAGGAGGAGUGCCUGAUCCAGCAAGGUGAUUCACUGUCACCUGUCACUGUCCGUCCACCCUCAGGAAAGCCCUUUGAGAUCCAGAUUUCCUACAAGACAACAUCCCCAAGCUUCAGGGAUGGAUCAAAAAGUGGCUGCUACAAUUCAAUGAAGAAAAGUGUAAAGUCCUGCACCUUGGGAGGGGAUAUCCACCAUACCAAUACCACAUGGGAAACACUCCACUAUCCACCACAGAGGGAGAGAAAGACCUGGGACUAUAUGUUACCAGGCUACCAGUGAAAGCUAAAUCCGUGCCAAUUGCAGCGGACGGGUCACAUGCUACCUACAACCCCCCCUUCCGCAACAUAAGAGCCAGGUAAUAUCUACACCAUGGAACCUUAUGUUUAGUCUUGUACUGGGAAAAUGUUAAUAAAGAGUUAAUUAAUCUA